CAGAGGAUCUGUUUGCUUUCGAUACUUUCCCGUGGUGUGCCUGAGGCAAGCUGGCAGACUGCCCUGGGGGCACAGGGCAGCACAGGCACUGCCAUCACAGAGACUCCUGUGGACCCAAUUUGAUCCACACAUCUGCCCCAAGACAGCUUCUGGCAGCUGUUUUCUGACUUGUCCAUAAAUCCCUCCAACGUGGAGGCUCCCAUCUCCAUGAAUUUAUUCCAUUUAUUCUGUUUACUCCAUAAAUAGGUAAUUUAUUUCCGUGCUUUGUUACCUUUUCCAGUAUAAAACUUUUUCCUCAUACCAAAUUGAGUCUUCCUUGUUAAACUUGAAGCUUGUUACUUCUCUGGACAUGUAGAUUCACCUCUUCCUCUGCACUGGUCUUUUGUGUACUUAUCAUCUCUUUUUGGCCUCUCCUUUCCUGAGCAACCUCAAUUUGUUUAGGUCUUGUUUAUUAGAUUGAUCAUUCUCACUGCUCUGGACUUUCUUUAGUUGUCUUGUAUCGUUGUGGGUGUGCAUGACCCAAAACUGGAUCUUGUACUCCAGCUGAGGCCUUGAUAAUGUGGAGAAGAGUUAGAAGAGCUAUUUCAUUUGUUUUGUAAGUUAUCACAGUGCUUGUAGAAAAGCAUUUGCCUGGUUUUUUGUAACAUGUGGGCUUUCAUCCUUUAUAACUCCUGAAGAUUUUUAUGGAGCUCUAAUACCAGUAAAAUUCUUUCUCAUUCUACAUUUGUGCAGAUGAUUAUUCCAACAUCAAUGUAGAUUUUGCCUUUGCUCCUGUUGAAUAGAAACCACUGAGUUUUGUUUGUUGUAAGAUAUUUUUAAAGCUACAUUUGCUCUUCAACCUAUUUUCCCCCUUUCCCAGCUUGGUAUUACUUGCAAGUCUAAUAAGUACACUAAUUCGUCUGCCAUUCAUAAUGACUGAUACCAGCCCUAAGACAACUCCUCCAUGAGGCUCAGGUUUUUUUAUAUCUUCUAUCUUGAGAAUGAACCUUCGACACUACUUUAAGUAGUUUUUCAAGUACUUCUGCAUCCACCCCCUGGUAUUUUCAUUCAGACUGUGCUUUCUUAGCUUAUACACAAGAAAGUGAGAUGGAAUACUGUGAAAAGCUUUAGAGAAAUCAAGAUGUGACACAAAAUCUGUUGUCUUAUUAUUGAAGGAAAUGAGAUUGGUUUGACACCAAUUACUCUGAACAGAUCAAAUCAGGCAGCCACUUAUUUUCUUGUGAUUUUCUCUCUGCUUACUAAUUGUUUAGUUUUAUUUGUUUGCAGGAACUGCACCUAAGCUGAUAGGUGUCUAAUUCCCCAUCUCCUUAUCCUCUGCCUUCUGUGGGCAGGAAAUGUAUUUAUCUUGUUUCAGUCUUCUGCAUCUUAUCCCUGACAAUAACUGUGAACAGCCCUGAGGUUUCAUCAGCUGAGGGUGGAUAUCAGGCCCAGCCAGUUUCAAACCCUUUGGCUUAUCUAAGUAUCCUCUAACCUCUUCCUUCCCUAUUAAAAAAUCUAGACACCUGUCAUUGAUUUUAAUCAGUUUCCAUACUUUUGGUUAGAAUCCAGUCUGGAUGACACCUUUUCUAGUCAAUAUUAUUUCCACAUCCUAUGUGAGAAAACUGCUGAAUUCUACAACCUUGUUGGUAACAUCAUAUGUUUUCCAGGCAUAUCUGUAUGUUACCACUUCCUAGAGGCUACAGCCUUUAUUGAUCAAGGUAAUUUUUUCGCAUGGUCUCACACACAGAAAGCUGCAUUCCUCUUAUCUUCCUGAUUUGGUAGUCUGGAUUAUUAAACUUUCUGCUGUGAUAGGAGCCAAGGUUUCUUUUUUUCCCAGC
ensembl:lncRNA